rnacentral:lncRNA from 1 species
UGACGUUUGUAGUAGGCCGGCCGCAGGAAACAGGGAAAGAAGAGGUGACGCUUGGAUACGAACAGCAUCGGAUCCCGACCUCGCCACACCUAUGGGCCCUGGAGAUGCUACACCCCUGCCCGGUCGGUGAACUAGCUCAGCUAGGAGGCAGACAACACGCCGGCUUCCUCCCCGGGUGUUCCUCUCAGGUCCUGCUCGCUCUCCGCCCGCUCCCUCUCCGCCGAAGAUCCCAUUGCGAGCGUGGCUCCGGGGUCCAUGCUCGAUUCCAGGGAGAUGUAAAGCGGCCAUGGAGACAGCUGGAAGAGCUAAGGUCACGGCCGGCGCGGCCUUACCACCCACCUUCAUCGUAGUUAUAUCCCCGGACGUUCCGAUGCCGGGCCAUCGCGCACAGACGGCGCCUGCCGCCGUCCCUUCCAGAAAAACUCGGCUCAGAAACCGACGAGGCGCAGACCGCGGGCGGAACACCUCUGCCGCGCCAUCUUGUCUUCCGCCAGGCCUCUGCGCCGAGCGUCCGCGCAUGCGCGACGUCAUACCUGCGCACUUGGCGACGGCAAGCUCUCGGGGUCACUGCGGGCCUCCCGGGAACGCGUGCGCGCUCGCGAACUGGCGGGGGGGGGGGGGGGGCGAGGUCCCGCCCACAAGCGAAUUGACUGACGUGGACUUCAAGGCCAGAAAUGAAGCAACCAGAGGGUUGUUGAGCGGGAUCCUUCACCUACACCGGUUUUCAGGAUUAUUUCCCAACUUUGGUUUUUGAUCAUCUGAAAAGCUGCCUAUUUCGCUCAGUAAAAACA